UCCCCAUCUGGCAUGUCUCCAUCUUCUGUGCCAGGUCCUGGGCGGGUAUGGGAUGGAGGGGCAGAAUGCAAAACUUCACACAUGCCUAGGCAAGCACUCUACCACUGCACUGUGCUCUUUUCCCAGCCAGGACCCUAAGCCUAGCAUAAUAGACCUAUGUCGUUCAGGAAUGCUGUCCACACUGAAACUCCAUUCUGCUAAGGCCUCACUUUGGAAUUUAAGCUUUAUCUGCUGAUUGAUGAGAUGAUACAGAUUCAGGGAGACUAAGAAACUGACCCCUGGCCACACAGCUGCAAGGCAUCGAGUUUCUGCAAGAACCAAGCCCGAGUUCUCCAGCUUCUCCAGGUGCGGGGAGGAAGUGUUCACACAUCUACCCCUCCAGACUCUUCAGGCUACAGAAGCAGUUUCUCCACAUAUCAGCCCGUGAGGUGGGCGGUCCACACCUUCCCAGCUGCAGUAACUGAGGAGCAGAGUGCCAUGAACUGCCUCCAGUUACUCAGCAAGAGAACAGAACCGAGUUUCUCACCCAGGGCAGCAGCAGACUCUCCACGGUACCAGGCACGACAGAACAGGCCAGCGAAAGCACAGCCAGGAUGCCAGGGGAUUGUUAACCUCCCAAUAAAGAACUGAGCUGGCUCCAGGGCAUCUCUGGUUUACACUUGCCACCCUGAGUCAUCUUGAUGAUGAGAAAUGCUCGUGCCUAGAACUGCUCUGCUGACCCGUGACCCACCAGGAAGUGUCUGCACCAGAGGGAGAGACAAAGACGGUAUCUCAGGCUGGUCUAGGACUCGCUAUGCAGUCAAAGAGAACCUUGACCCUCUUUGCCUCUGCCUUCACCUCCCAAAUGCUGGCAAUGGAACCCAGGACUUCAGGCAUGCUAGUCCAGCAUUCUACCUACUGAGCUGUAUCCCCAGCCCUUGGCAUGACCUUUGCCUGCCUCAUCCCGUGACCUACUGGAGGCUACUGACCACGUUCACAGAGCCACUUUUGUUGAGCUGAUUACCCCAAGGCUACAACUAACCUUAUCAUUAUCCAGAACAGCUCCUGCUCUGGGUUCUAGGACACUGUGGUCCCUGGGUGGCCAUAGUCACCUCUCUCUGGCUUUCCAGUUCCAGGGAUAUCUGCCCACAGGGUCAUCAAGACUUCCCAUCUCCCGCUUCCUAUCCCUCGGACCAGAUCUACUCUACUUCCUCUGUACCGGAAUAUUUCCCCCAAGUUCACCAGUCCCUUGCCCAACUCCAGCCUUCCCACUGUGUGAAACUCAGCCCUUGUUCAGAUCACCCCGGCCUCUACCAGUGACCUCAGGAGAAGUGCAAAUCGGCUAAAGAUAUUCACAGGAGUCGUUAAAGUUGGAAUCCUGGCUCCACUGCUCUUUGCUGUAUGUAUGACCCUGGGCGAAUGAUGUAAGUCCUGGGCCUGUAGAGUCCUGUAGGAAAGAAAAACAGUAACGCACACUGCUCAGGUUGAAGGUUCAAUUUUCAUUUUUUAUUUUAUUCUUUUUCUCAGUUUUUUGAGAUAGGGUCUCU